CGGGCGAAAUGCGUAGCCGUAUUUCGUCUGUCGUUACGUUCUGAGUUCGAAUUCCGCCGAGGUCGACUUUGCCUUUCAUCCUUUCCGGGUCGAUAAAUUAAGCACCAGUUGCGUACUGGUGUUGAUGUAAGCGACUCAUCUCCUCCCCAAUAAUUGCUGCCCUUAUGG